GAAACGCGAUAGGUAAUGUGAAUUGCAGAAUCUAGUGAAUCAUCGAAUCUUUGAACGCACAUUGCGCCCUCUGGUAUUCCGGGGGGCAUGCCUGUUCGAGCGUCAUUACAACCCUCAAGCUCUGAAACUGACCUCAGAUCAGGCAGGGACACCGCCUGAACUUAA
rnacentral:misc_RNA from 1 species